CCAAAGAAACUUUUUGGUUUGGUUUGGUUUGUACGAAAACCACAAUGUUGCUAAUUUUACACGACCAAACGCACUCAGGAAACAAGGUUGUCGUUGAGGGACAAAGAAGCUAGCUGGUCAGCCGGGCUAUUGCCAUGCUGCUGAGAAACAUUCCUCAGAACAUCCAUGGCCUCCUUAACUUUUGCUCUCAAGGCCUCUGGUGAUUCAAGCAAAUGCAAAACCUCGGUCUGGUCCAUCUCCAGAAGCAUGCCUGUCACCUUGGCUGCAUGC
rnacentral:lncRNA from 1 species